rnacentral:rRNA from 1 species
UACGGGGGGGGUAAGCGUUGUUCGGAAUUACUGGGCGUAAAGGGCUCGUAGGCGGCCAACUAAGUCCGACGUGAAAUCCCAAGGCUUAACCUUGGAACUGCGUCGGAUACUGGAUGGCUUGAAUUCGGGAGAGGGAUGCAGAAUUCCAGGUGUAGCGGUGAAAUGCGUAGAUAUCUGGAGGAAUACCGGUGGCGAAGGCGGCAUCCUGGACCGACAUUGACGCUGAGGAGCGAAAGCUAGGGGAGCAAACGGG